ACGAACGCUGGCGGCAGGCCUAACACAUGCAAGUCGAGCGCGAAAGUUCUUCGGAAUGAGUAGAGCGGCGGACGGGUGAGUAACGCGUGGGAAUCUGCCCAGUAGUGGGGGACAACGUCUCGAAAGGGACGCUAAUACCGCAUACGCCCUACGGGGGAAAGGGGGGGAUCUUCGGACCUCUCGCUAUUGGAUGAGCCCGCGUCGGAUUAGCUAGUUGGUAGGGUAAAGGCCUACCAAGGCGACGAUCCGUAACUGGUCUGAGAGGAUGAUCAGUCAGACUGGAACUGAGACACGGUCCAGACUCCUACGGGAGGCAGCAGUGGAGAAUAUUGGACAAUGGGCGAAAGCCUGAUCCAGCAAUGCCGCGUGUGUGAAGAAGGCCUUAGGGUUGUAAAGCACUUUCAGUAGGGAGGAAGGUUGUAAUGCUAAUAUCAUUGCAAAUUGACGUUACCUACAGAAGAAGCACCGGCUAACUCUGUGCCAGCCGCCGCUGUAA
rnacentral:rRNA from 1 species